AUGUGGUUGCUGGGAUUUGAACUCCAGACCUUUGGAAGAGCAGUGGGGUGCUCUUACCCACUGAGCCAUCUCACCAGCCCAGUAGUCAAAGUUUUAAAUACUGCUUUUCUGCUUUCAAAAUUUGCUGAUCAUGAAAUUUGUAGUAGACUUUAGAAAUGUCUUAGAUACUUUUCUGUUGUUGUGAUAGGACACCAUGAGCAAGGCAACUUAUAAAAGAGUUUAUUUGGGUCUUACAGUUUCAGAGGGUUAGAGUCUGUGGCCAUCACCGCAGGGAGCAUGGCAGCAGGCAGGCAGGCAUGAUACUAGAUCAGCAGCUGAGAGCUCACAUCCUGAGUCACAACCAAGAGGCAGAAAGAGCUUACUGGGAAUGGUGUCGACUUUUGCAACCCUCAAGCCCCAAUGACAUACCUCUUCCACAAGGCCAUACCUCAUGAUCUUUCCCAAGGUUCCACCAACAGGGACCAAGUAUUCAAAUAUAUGAGUCCGUAGGGGCCAUUUUCAUCCAAACUGCCACCGAAACCAAACCUGAAAAUAUAAAAAAGAAUUAGUGAUCAGUUGGCAUCAAACAGGAAAAAUUGUUAAUAGAGACUUGUCCAAGAUCUGGAUGCAGAAUGCUAAUGUUCAAAUCCUUCCUCUGCUGCUUGCUAACUGUGUGGCCUCUGUCAAAUUACAAAGCUAAGCUGUGCCUCAGCAUCUUUAUCUGUCAGGGGGACAAUGCUUAGCUUACAAGUGUCAGAAUAUAACAUAAAAUAAUGAAUGGGGGCUGGCAAGAUGGCUCAGUGGGUAAGAGCACUGACUGCUCUACCGAAGUCCUGAGUUCAAAUCCCAGCAACCACAUGGUGGCUCACAACCACUCGUAGUGAGAUCUGAUGCCCUCUUCUGGAGUGUCUGAAGUCAGCUACAGUGUACCUAUUUAUAAUAAUAAAUAAAUCUUUGGGCUCGAAUAAAUAAAACAGAGACUGAGUAAGUGGGGUCGACCAGAGUGAACAGAGGUCCUAAAAUUCAAUUCCCAACACACAUGAAGGCUCACAACCAUCUGUACAGCUACAGUGUACUCAUAUACAUUAAAUAAAUAAAUAAAUCCUUAAAAAAUAAAAUAAGGGGGCUGGUGAGAUGGCUCAGUGGGUAAGAGCACCCGACUGCUCUUCCGAAGGUCCAGAGUUCAAAUCCCAGCAACCACAUGGUGGCUCACAACCAUCUGUAACAUGAUCUGACUCCCUUUUCUGGUGUGUCUGAAGACAGCAACAGUGUACUUACAUAUAAUAAUAAAUAAAUCUUUAAAAAAAAAAAGAUAUCCUUU
rnacentral:lncRNA from 1 species